rnacentral:rRNA from 1 species
CAGUAGCCGCGGUAAUACGAAGGGUGCAAGCGUUAAUCGGAAUUACUGGGCGUAAAGCGUGCGUAGGCGGUUUGUUAAGUCUGUUGUGAAAUCCCCGGGCUCAACCUGGGAAUGGCAAUGGAUACUGGCAAGCUAGAGUGUGUCAGAGGAUGGUGGAAUUCCCGGUGUAGCGGUGAAAUGCGUAGAGAUCGGGAGGAACAUCAGCGGCGAAGGCGGCCAUCUGGGACAACACUGACGCUGAGGCACGAAAGCGUGGGGAGCAAACAGGAUUAGAGACCCCCGUAGUCCCUGUCUCUUAUAA